CGUGUAGGCGGUCUUGUAAGUCGAGUGUGAAAGCCCUGGGCUUAACCCAGGAAGUGCGCUCGAUACUGCAGGACUAGAGUACGGGAGAGGGUAGCGGAAUUCCCGGUGUAGAGGUGAAAUUCGUAGAUAUCGGGAGGAACACCAGUGGCGAAGGCGGCUGCCUGGACCGAUACUGACGCUGAGACGCGAAAGCGUGGGUAGCAAACA
rnacentral:rRNA from 1 species